rnacentral:rRNA from 1 species
AGUGAACGCUGGCGGUAGGCCUAACACAUGCAAGUCGAACGGCAGCACAGUAAGAGCUUGCUCUUACGGGUGGCGAGUGGCGGACGGGUGAGGAAUACAUCGGAAUCUACUUUUUCGUGGGGGAUAACGUAGGUAAACUUACGCUAAUACCGCAUACGACCUACGAGUGAAAGCAGGGGAUCUUCGGACCUUGCGCGAUUGAAUGAGCCGAUGUCGGAUUAGCUAGUUGGCGGGGUAACGGCCCACCAAGGCGACGAUCCGUAGCUGGUCUGAGAGGAUGAUCAGCCACACUGGAACUGAGACACGGUCCAGACUCCUACGGGAGGCAGCAGUGGGGAAUAUUGGACAAUGGGCGCAAGCCUGAUCCAGCCAUACCGCGUGGGUGAAGAAGGCCUUCGGGUUGUAAAGCCCUUUUGUUGGGAAAGAAAAGCAGCAGGUUAAUACCCCGCUGUUCUGACGGUACCCAAAGAAUAAGCACCGGCUAACUUCGUG